GUGGGGUUCGCUGUGUGACACAAUUACAACAACUUUGUUCAGCUGCUGGGGAAGUUUGUACAGGCAACAAAUACACCCCUCGCGGGCGGGCGCGGGUCCCUGUCACCUCGACUCCACUCACUUUUCGUCGCUGGGGCUGGCGGCUCAGCAGCGAUGUAAACACUGCUCCGUCACCGCCAGCAGCAGCAGCCGCAGCCUCCUCCUCCUUCUCCUCCCACUCCCCCCCCCCAGUCUUCAGCGCUGGGGCUCCCUUCCUGCUCCCUCCUCCUCCGAUCAGCGGGGCUUCCCCCCGCCUUUCUCUCCCUCCCCCUCCCUGCCGGCUGUUGUUGUUGUAAUAAAAGUUGUGGUGGUGCGUGUGUGUCGGGCACCCCGCCCGGCACUGGGGGGGUGUUGGGGCGCGCGGGGAGGGGGGCUUGCGAUCGUGAGUUAAUUACGUUGCGUUUCCAUGAAAUCGUGUGGAGUGUCGCUCGCCGCUGCCGCCGCCGCCGCCGCUGCCUCUACUGCUUUCGGUGAUGAGGAAAAGAAAAUGGCGGCGGGGAAAGCGAGCGGCCAGAGCGAGGAGGACUUCGCCAGCCUGACAGCGGAGGAAAGAGAAGUCCUCUCUGGCUUCGACAGCCGACUCUUCGGAUUUUUAAGGCUUCAUGAAGAUGGCGCCAGAACGAAGGCCUUGCUGUUAAAGGCUGUUGGCUGCUAUGAAUCGUUAAUAUUAAAAGCAGAAGGAAAAGUUGAAUCAGAUUUCUUUUGCCAGUUAGGUCACUUCAACCUUUUAUUGGAGGAUUAUCCAAAAGCAUUAUCUGCAUACCAGAGGUACUACAGUUUACAAUCUGACUACUGGAAGAAUGCUGCCUUUUUGUAUGGCCUUGGCUUGGUCUACUUCCAUUACAACGCAUUUCAGUGGGCAAUUAAAGCAUUUCGGGAAGUGCUUUAUGUUGAUCCCAGUUUUUGCCGCGCCAAGGAAAUUCAUUUACGACUUGGGCUUAUGUUCAAAGUGAAGACAGAUUUUGAGUCUAGUUUUAAGCAUUUUCAGUUAGCUUUGAUUGAUUGCAAUCCUUGCACUUUGUCCAAUGCUGAAAUUCGAUUUCAUGUUGCCCAUUUAUAUGAAACCCAGAAGCAUCCAGUUGAGGAGGAGCAUCCACUGGAUCCAACUCACUUCUGGGAACAGAAGAGGCUCUUCCAUUUGUGGAGCUGCAGCCCUGGAUCCAACCCAAGAAAAUAUCAUUUGGCAAAGAAGGAAUAUGAACAACUUUUGCAGUCUGAAAAUCUUCCUGCACAAGUGAAAGCAACUGUGUUACAACAGUUAGGCUGGAUGCAUCAUACAGUGGAUCAAUUAGGAGAUAAAGCCACCAAGGAAAACUAUGCUAUUCAGUGUCUCCAAAAGUCUCUAGAGGCAGAUCCAAACUCUGGCCAAUCCUGGUAUUUCCUUGGAAGGUGCUAUUCAAGUAUUGGGAAAGUUCAGGAUGCCUUUAUUUCUUAUAGGCAAUCUAUUGAUAAAUCAGAAGCAAGUGCAGACACAUGGUGUUCUAUAGGUGUGCUGUACCAACAACAGAAUCAGCCUAUGGAUGCAUUACAGGCCUAUAUCUGUGCUGUACAAUUGGACCAUGGCCAUGCUGCAGCCUGGAUGGAUCUUGGCACCCUCUAUGAAUCCUGCAAUCAGUCUCAGGAUGCCAUUAAAUGCUACUUAAAUGCAACCAGAAGCAAAAACUGUAGUAAUACCUCUGCACUUGCAGCACGAAUAAAGUAUUUACAGGCUCAGUUGUGUAACCUUCCACAAGGUAGUCUACAGAAUAAAACUAAAUUACUUCCUAGUAUUGAGGAGGCAUGGAGCCUACCAAUCCCCGCAGAGCUUACCUCCAGGCAGGGUGCCAUGAACACAACACAGCAGGCUUGUAAACCUCAUCAAAAUACUGAACCUGUACUAGGCCUCAGUCAGACACCUAUUUCACAGCAGUUGCCACUACACAUGAUUCCUUCUAGCCAUGUAGAUGACCUAUCCAGUCCAGCCAAGAGGAAAAGACCAUCUAGUCCAACCAAGAACACUUUAGAGACUUGGAGCAGUGGCCAUACAGUGUCACAUCCUCCUCCGGUACAGCAACAAAUACAUUCUUGGUGCUUGACACCACAGAAAUUACAGCACUUGGAACAGCUGCGUGCAAAUAGAAAUAGUUUAAAUCCAGCACAGAAGCUUAUGCUGGAACAGCUGGAGAGUCAGUUUGUCUUGAUGCAGCAACACCAGCAGAUGAGGCAGAUGGGAGUUGCACAGGUACGAUCUACUGGAAUUGCUAAUGGGCCAACAGCUGACUCAUCACUGCCUACAAACUCUGUCUCUGGUCAGCAGCCACAGGUUGCUCUAACCAGAGUGCCUAACAUCACACAGCACGGAAUCCGUCCAACCUGUCUUGGGCAGCCUAUGGCAAAUGGACCCUUUCCAGCAGGCUCAGUUCCCUGCAGCACAGCCAGAACGCUGAGUAGUACAGACACUAUUUUGAUAGGCAAUAAUCACAUAACAGGAAGUGGAAGUAAUGGAAACGUGCCUUACCUGCAGCGAAACGCACUCUCUCUACCUCAUAACCGCACAAACCUGACCAGCAGCGCAGAGGAGCCGUGGAAAAAACAACUAUCUAACUCCACUCAGGGGCUUCAAAAAAGUCAGAGUUCACAUUUGGCAGGUCCUAAUAGUGAACGACCUCUCUCUUCCACUGGGCCUUCCCAGCAUCUCCAGGCAGCUGGCACUGGUAUUCAAAAUCAAAAUGGACAUCCUACCAUGCCUAGCAAUUCAGUAACACAGGGGGCUGCUCUCAAUCACCUCCCCUCUCACACUGCUACCUCAGGUGGACAACAAGGCAUUACCUUAACCAAAGAGAGCAAGCCUUCAGGAAAUACAUCAGCAGUGCCUGACAUAAACAGGCAUUCUGGAGAGACUCUUAACAGCACUGCCAGUGUAGAAGGACUUCCUAAUCAUGUCCAUCAGGUGACGGCAGAUGCUGUUUCUAGCCCUAGCCAUGGAGAUUCAAAGUCACCAGGUUUACUUAGUUCAGACAAUCCUCAGCUCUCUGCCUUGUUGAUGGGAAAAGCCAAUAACAAUGUGGGUACUGGAACCUGUGACAAAGUCAAUAACAUCCAUCCAACUGUUCAUACAAAGACUGAGAAUUCUGUUGCCUCCUCACCAUCUUCAGCCAUUUCCACAGCAACACCGUCUCCAAAAUCUACUGAACAGACUACCACAAACAGUGUUACCAGCCUUAACAGCCCUCAUAGUGGACAUGCAGUUAAUGGAGAAGCAUUGGAGGACUCUCAGAGCCCCAUAAAAACCAAUCCUCCUCUUACUGGACACAAACCUAAUUCCCCGAUCAUACCAUCUAUGUCGGUAUCUAUAUAUCCAAGUUCUGCAGAGGUCCUGAAAGCAUGCAGGAAUUUGGGGAAAAACGGCCUAUCAAACAGUAGCAUUUUAUUGGAUAAAUGUCCUCCUCCAAAACCACCACCACCUCCAUAUCCUCCCUUGCCAAAGGAUAAGUUGAAUCCACCUACACCUAGUAUUUAUCUGGAAAAUAAGCGUGAUGCUUUCUUCCCACCUUUACACCAAUUUUGUACAAAUCCAAACAAUCCUGUUACUGUAAUACGUGGCCUUGCUGGAGCUCUUAAAUUAGAUCUGGGACUCUUCUCUACCAAAACUUUGGUAGAAGCUAAUAAUGAACACUUGGUUGAAGUAAGGACACAAUUAUUGCAACCAUCAGAUGAAAACUGGGAUUCUACUGGAACAAAAAAUACAUGGCAUUGUGAAAGCAGUAAAUCUCAGUCUACAAUUGCUAAAUAUGCACAAUACCAGGCCUCCUCAUUCCAGGAAUCCUUAAGGGAGGAAAAUGAAAAAAAGACUCAUCAUAAGGACCAUUCAGAUAGUGAGUCAACAUCUUCUGAUAAUUCUGGGAAGAGGAAAAGGGGACCUUUUAAAACUAUCAAAUUUGGGACCAACGUUGAUUUAUCAGAUGACAAGAAAUGGAAGCUACAGCUACAUGAACUUACAAAGCUUCCUGCUUUUGUCCGAGUAGUAUCAGCAGGAAACCUUCUUAGUCAUGUUGGUCAUACAGUCUUGGGAAUGAAUACCGUUCAGUUGUAUAUGAAAGUCCCAGGCAGCAGAACAUCAGGUCAUCAAGAAAAUAACAACUUUUGCUCAGUCAAUAUAAAUAUAGGUCCAGGUGAUUGUGAAUGGUUUGUUGUUCCAGAAAGUUACUGGGGUAUCAUGAAUGAUUUCUGUGAAAAAAACAAUAUGAAUUUUCUAAUGGGUUCUUGGUGGCCUAAUCUGGAAGAUUUGUAUGAAGCCAAUGUUCCAGUUUAUAGGUUUAUUCAACGACCGGGAGAUCUAGUGUGGAUAAAUGCUGGGACUGUCCAUUGGGUUCAGGCUGUUGGCUGGUGUAAUAAUAUUGCCUGGAAUGUUGGCCCUCUUACAGCUUGUCAAUAUAAAUUAGCUGUGGAACGGUACGAGUGGAAUAAAUUGCAAAGUGUGAAGUCAGUAGUACCUAUGGUUCAUCUUUCUUGGAACAUAGCACGAAAUAUCAAAGUACCAGAUCCAAAGCUUUUUGAAAUGAUCAAGUAUUGCCUGUUGAGAACUCUCAAGCAAUGUCAGACUUUGAGGGAAGCUCUAAUUGCUGCAGGAAAGGAGAUUGUAUGGCAUGGGAGAACAAAAGAAGAACCAGCUCAUUAUUGUAGCAUAUGUGAGGUAGAAGUCUUCAAUUUGCUUUAUGUUACAAAUGAGAGUAAUUCUCAAAAAACCUAUGUUGUAAAUUGCCUAGACUGUGCACGAAAGAUAAGUGGGAACCUGGAAAACUUUGUGGUGCUAGAACAAUACAGAAUGGAGGAUCUAAUGCAAAUCUAUGACCAAUUUACAUUAUUCAACAUGGGCUAUUUUCAAGGCAGAUACACCUGUUAAUCUAUCUCAGCUUUUCCAGUGAAGGAAAUACAUUAGAAGUUGUGUCAUUGUUGAAGUCAUUGAGGAAUCUGGCACCUCCAUUGCCAUCAUCUUCAUCUUGACAUAUUUCCAAGGACAUUUAUAUAAAAUCUUUUCUGAUAUUCAGGAAGUGACCCAGUUCUGCACCAUGGAUUUUUGUAGCGAUCCCAUAAGGCUGCUGGCUGAAAGCUGUGUCUAUGCAACCUUCCAAGUGUGGAGUGUCAACCAACUGGACAGGAGAGAGCACAGCUCCUACUCCAGAAUUUUAAAAAAUAGAAAGCUCAUUCAGCUGAAUUGAAAAAAAAAUCCCAUGUUUUGUAUAUAUCUGACAAAACUGGCAACAUUAUACAGACUACUGACUUGAAGACCACCUUUUUUCUAUUUCUCUGUUUCUGGGCUGAUGAAUUGGUUUCAUCAAAUUCUCUAUUCCACUCCCCUUGAAAGAUUUUUUUUCCCCUCCUUCUUCUUGGAAAAGUACUGGCUUAGCUGGUCCUUUCUAUGUAAGGUAGUUAGAAUUUUAUGUCUUUCUUUGGGCUACUUUGUUUUUUAAUGUGAAACUUAGGUGAUACUUUUUUUUCUACUGCUUUUAUGUUAUUCUAUCUUGUUUUGAAACCAUGAUGGUUACUUUUUCUUUCCUAAAUAAAAUUUUAAAAAAAUUAACAGCCAAGUCACAAAGAUAAAUGGGUUGCACAUAGACUAAAGAAUAAACUUCAGAUUUGUGAUUUUGUUUCUAAUCUUGAUGUAAAUUUACACUAUUUAUAAAUACAUAUUUAUUGCUUGAAAAUAUUUGUGAAUGGAAUGCUGUUAUUUUUUCCAGAUUACCUGCCAUUGAAAUUUUAAGGAGUUCUGUAAUUUCAAACAUUACUCCUAUUACAUUUUCUAUAUGUAAAUAAAACUGCUUAGCAUUGUACAGAAACUUUUAUUAAAAUUGUUUAAUGUUUAAA